GAACGAACGCUAGCGGCGCGUUUUAUGCAUGCAAGUCGAACGGCAGCAGUAGCAAUACUGUGAGAGUGGCGCACGGGUGAGUAACACGUAGGUGAUUUGUCUUGGGGAUGGGGAUAGCCUCUAGAAAUAGAGGGUAAUACCGAAUGCGUCCGGCUGGUAAGCCUUUAUCGGCCGGGGAAAGAUGCUACGGCAUCGACCUAAGAGGAGCCUGCGCCUGAUUAGCUAGUUGGUGAGGUAAUGGCCCACCAAGGCGACGAUCAGUAGCCGGCCUGAGAGGGUGUACGGCCACACUGGGACUGAGACACGGCCCAGACUCCUACGGGAGGCAGCAGCAAAGAAUCUUCCGCAAUGGACGAAAGUCUGACGGAGCGACGCCGCGUGUAUGACGAAGGCCGAAAGGUUGUAAAGUACUUUUCUUGAGGAAGAAUAAGGCAGGGAGGGAAUGCCCUGCUGAUGACAUGAAUUGAGGAAUAAGCCCCGGCUAACUACGUGCCAGCAGCCGCGGUAACACGUAGGGGGCAAGCGUUGUUCGGAAUUAUUGGGCGUAAAGGGCAUGUAGGCGGUCAUGCAAGCCUGGUGUGAAAAAUCUCAGCUUAACUGAGAAGACGCGCUGGGAACUGCAUAACUUGAGUUCGUAAGGGGAAGCCGGAAUUCCAGGUGUAGGGGUGAAAUCUGUAGAUAUCUGGAAGAACACCAAUGGCGUAGGCAGGCUUCUAGUACUGAACUGACGCUGAGAUGCGAAAGUGCGGGGAGCAAACAGGAUUAGAUACCCUGGUAGUCCGCACUGUAAACGAUGUACACUAGGUGUUGGGGUUUCUGACCUCAGUGCCGUAGCUAACGCGUUAAGUGUACCGCCUGGGGAGUAUGCCCGCAAGGG
rnacentral:rRNA from 1 species